AUUGAACGCUGGCGGCAUGCCUUACACAUGCAAGUCGAACGGUAACAGGUCUUCGGAUGCUGACGAGUGGCGAACGGGUGAGUAAUACAUCGGAACGUGCCUAGUAGUGGGGGAUAACUACUCGAAAGAGUGGCUAAUACCGCAUGAGAUCUACGGAUGAAAGCAGGGGAUCGCAAGACCUUGUGCUACUAGAGCGGCCGAUGGCAGAUUAGGUAGUUGGUGGGAUAAAAGCUUACCAAGCCGACGAUCUGUAGCUGGUCUGAGAGGACGAUCAGCCACACGGGGACUGAGACACGGCCCAGACUCCUACGGGAGGCAGCAGUGGGGAAUUUUGGACAAUGGGCGCAAGCCUGAUCCAGCAAUGCCGCGUGCAGGAUGAAGGCCUUCGGGUUGUAAACUGCUUUUGUACGGAACGAAAAGCCCCGGGUUAAUACCCUGGGGUCAUGACGGUACCGUAAGAAUAAGCACCGGCUACUACGUGCCAGCCGCCGCGGUAA
rnacentral:rRNA from 1 species